UACGGAGGGUCCAAGCGUUAUCCGGAUUUAUUGGGUUUAAAGGGUGCGUAGGCGGCACAGUAAGUUAGAGGUGAAAUCUCGCGGCUCAACCGCGAAACUGCCUCUGAUACUGCUGAGCUAGAGAUUAGAUGCUGUGGGCGGAAUGUGUAGUGUAGCGGUGAAAUGCUUAGAGAUUACACAGAACACCGAUUGCGAAGGCAGCUCACAAAUCUACUUCUGACGUUGAGGCACGAAAGCGUGGGUAGCAAACAGGAUUAGAUACCCUGGUAGUCCACGCAGUAAACGAUGAUAGCUCGUUGUCGGCGAUACACAGUCGGUGACUUAGCGAAAGCGUUAAGCUAUCCACCUGGGGAGUACGUUCGCAAGAAUGAA
rnacentral:rRNA from 1 species